UCUGGGUAAGCCUGCAAGAGAAGUUGCAGCUUUACAACUUCUAGAUUUGUUUGGUAACCCACAUUUCUCUAUAAAAAUGUGUUUGACUUUAUCAUGUCUUUAGUAGUUGAUAGAGUACAGAUUGACAAACUGAAGAUUUCAUUAGGCGUUGAUGAUGAUUGUUAUCCAGACUGGAAUCAUGACCUCCUUGUGGCAUGAAGGAGAUGAUGAGUGAGACAUUCGAGGUUUUGUAGAAGCGAAUGGCAGCUGAAGGUUAAGAGCCAUCGAGAAUAGGAAUGUUUUUUUAUUCAUGUGUAGCUAGCUAAGAAUGCUCUUGUUUGGUGCAUUAUCUUGUUACUUGAAUGUAUUGAUGCUUGAAUAAUGGUACUUGAAUGAUAUAUA